rnacentral:tRNA from 1 species
ACACCGAUGGUGAAACGGUUAUCAUGCUUGCCUUCCAUACCAAGGAAAGAAGCAGGUCUGAGCAAGCGGUAGGGGUUCAACUCCCCUUUGGUGUA